rnacentral:rRNA from 1 species
AACUUUCAACAACGGAUCUCUUGGUUCUCGCAUCGAUGAAGAGCGCAGCGAAAUGCGAUACCUAGUGUGAAUUGCAGCCAUCGUGAAUCAUCGAGUUCUUGAACGCACAUUGCGCCCCUCGGCAUUCCGGGGGGCAUGCCUG